rnacentral:lncRNA from 1 species
CUUGGUUCCAUUGCCACUUAUAACAACAUGGCUGUAAUAUUUCUACGGGUUAUUCGCAUUUCAUUUGAUGGUCAGAGGCGAAUUGAAAGCUAAGCAGUGGAAAUUCUAAAGAUUCUCCAGGGGAAAAAUAGAGAUGUUUCCUACGUUACCCAUAAUAUGUGAAAGUAUCGACGUAAUUUCAUAGACUCAUUCGGUCUGAAUGCUACAUGAAGAACAUAAGUCAGAUGACGGAACGGGAAGACCUAAAAUGUAGAAGAUCAUACCAUGAGUGAUUCGGCAAAAAUUUGAAAUUGU